ensembl:lncRNA
GUUCUAAUCAGAAUGUUCUAAUCUUUGUCUUUGUUUAACUACAACUAUCGAGACACUAUUUUACAAACUCAACAAUCACUAUUCAACCGCUACAGCUACUUGAAAUGGCACGGGCAAAUGCGUACCUGCAAAUGUCAAUAAUUCGAAUAUAUUUACUUGACAAAGUCAGUCUAAAACAGAAUGGACUCAACCCAAUAGCUACGCUAUAUGGACGUCCCCAUAUAAAAACAUUAACAAACUUUAAAUAGUUCAGAGAUCUGAAUAAUGUGGUUCUUUGGAAUAAUAAAAAUGAUUGUUGCAGUUAACAGGAGAAGAGGGCUCUGGAUAUGGACAAAAAGGAGGAUUUCACCUUCUCAAUCCAAAUUGAGAAUAGUGCUUAAUCUACUUGAAAUUACAACCUAGCACAAUGUGCUGAAACAGAUCAAGCUGGCCUAACAUUGCUGAAAGAUACAUCUGCCUAAAAAUGGCUUACUGGGAAAGGGUUCCCCCAGCUGGUGACAUGCAAUAUCUCACACAACAGAAAAGGGAAGACCAGUGGCUGGACAAUGAAAAAGCUGCCACUAGGUUCCAUACCUCCCGCUUACAAUACCCUGAAAUUUAUUUACGUAGAUAUGGUUUUCAACAGGCUCGGGAUCCACCUACGUAUGAAUAUACAAAAAUAUCUCAGAACACUUAUUGGCAGCAUAACUAUGGACCACUGAGAGGUCAUGCAUGCCCUAACGUAACAUUACAAUACAGUGGAGAGAUAAAAAGAAGUGUUAAUAAAGAACCCUACUUCCCAUCAAAUGAGUUUUCUACUCCAUCCAUUGUUGGGAGAGGACAUGAAGAUAUAUCCCAUCACAGCAAUGCUGACCGGUAUUAUGUUGGUUGGGAAAUGAAUAAAAAAACGUCCCAAUCCCUGGAAAACAUUCAGCGGAUGUUAAAUUCCAACCAUUCCAAUGGACAUGCUAGAGGACAUUUCAUGGAACAUUCUAACUCCUAUUAUAGGGGUGAGUCUACUGAAUGCUCAAGGGGAUUUUCUAAGGAUCAUUCCUAUGGAGGUUCUAGGAGACGUUCCUGUGGUUAUUUUAGGAGUAGUUCUAGGGGGGGGUCUAGGAAUACCAAGGAUGAGCCUAGUGGACGUUCUAGAGGUAGGCUUACAUUACCGGCUAAUCAUGUUAACACUUUGCCAAAUACAACCAAAAGAACUCUGGACAUUCAGAACACCAAAAAGUCUGCAACUGUUUCAGCGGGCAACAACAAACAUGGUGAUAUGGCAUCAGGACAAAUAACAUCUCCUGUGCAGUCUACCACCGCAACUGCACAACAAUGUAUUUCUAUGGAUCUUCCUGUCCCAGAAGCUACAGGAUCUUGUGUUGUUGACCUGAAAGUGGUUCAGGUAACAAAUGCGGACACCUAUGAUAUACCAGGACCCAGUUUCCCUUCCAAAGCCGUAAUGCUACAAACAGACACACUUCCUGGCAAUGCUGCUCAUCUUUCUCACACUCAGAGCUCUGCCACUCCUGAACAGCAACACACUUCCUGUUCUUCUCCUGAAUGUCUCCAAGCAACACCUCAGGGAAAUCCGCCCAAUAAAAAUAUCUCCUUAAAGAAAAUACAAGACUGGAUUAUGAGUCUCCAGACUGAAUCUGAAACAUGGCAAACGCUAAACAAGAUAACUUCUCAGGGGGUAUCGCCUUGUUGCCUAAGUGCUGAGGACUCCACUCUGCAGCUGGAGAUUAAGUCCACCCACAGAAGUAUGACUUUAACCGCAGUCACAGCCACCCCACCUCCUAUGGCUAUAGUCCCUCCAAUGGAUCCAACGCAGUCCCCGGAGCCCAUGGAGACAGGGGACGCAGACAAAGAGGUGCCAUUUCAAAUUUUACAGACCUGGUCCUUAAACGAACAAAAGGGAGACAGCCUGCAGGAGAGCACUAAAGAUGGUGUAAGUUUUCCAUCUGCCCUAAAUGAGAAAGUUGAGAGAGAGAUGCUGCAUCAUAAACCUAUAGAGACAUCAGCAACAAGUUCACUAACAUCUGCUAAAAAGGCUGUUGCAUUACUUCAUUGCAGAGAAGUCAUUGCAGAGAAGGCCAAUGAAAUCAAGACAAUUGAGGAAGUUGUCUGUAACGAUGGCAAUAAAAAAAAUCUUUAUUUGUCUACAAUUGAUGACAUUCAAGUCAAAUUACAUGCACUCCAGCAACUGGUUAAUGAUCUGGAAAAUGCACACAUUCCCAAAGAGCCAAAGGAGGGUUGUUUAGAGACCCUUUUGAAACGGUUUUGGGGCAAGGAUGUGGACACUUUAAAAGACCUAACUGAUGAGAAAAUCAUGCAGGAAGUAUCUGCAUGGGCCACAGAAGAUGAGAAUGCAGUGGUUCUUUUUGCGGUCAGUGGUCUCACACUGCAGGAAUUAGUUGAGAAGUUUCCCAUUGGUGCACCCAUUGACCGCUCUUUGCUAGUCGGUAACAAGUCUUCAUGGUUAAAAGUCAACAAGAAUCUGGAUGACAUUGACAAAGAAUCUGAAAGAUCUUGGUCUUUGUGCUUCAUACCAGAUCAAGCAGAGGAUAAUGCUAUUGCAAAAAUGGUUGAGGAAUAUUUAACUGAUGACUUCAGCAAGACGGACACUGUGAACUUGCCUCUACAACAAUCUGUUGACACAGACGUCAUAUUGAAUAGUGACCCCCCAAAUGACAAACUCAUAAUUGAUAUAGAGCCCCAAAAAGAUGUAGACUCUGCAACAGACACAGGCCUCUCAACAGAUGCAGACUCUAAAACAGACCACCUUUCAAAGAUUAUUUUGACUGUACUCACACCUGACGAUGCUGUGAAACUGUUUGCUGAAAUCAAUGUACCUGAUGUAGACCUCCCAACAGAUGAAGAUCUAAGAAUUCUCACAGACGUAACAAUCGACUGCAACACAGAAACACUUUCCCCAAUAAAUGUGACUGUCCUCGCACCUGACGAUGCUGUGAAACUGUUUUCUGACAUUGUGACCCCUGACACAGGCCUCCCAACAGAUGAAAAUCUCAGAACUCUCAUAGACACAACAAUAGACUCCAACACAGACACACUUUCACCAAUGAAUUUGACUGUCCUCACACCUGCUGAUGCUUUGAAACUGUUUAGCCAGAUUGAUAAAGGCUCUGUAGUCCAAAUGGGAUGGCCUGCACCAUGCUCUAAAAACCAAGAGAAGAUCCAGACAGAGCAAUCCCAGAAUAUUGGACGUGGUUGCUUUAAAAAAAUAUGCUACUGCCCCUGUAUAACUGAAACUGACAAUGGGUUUGAGAUGGGACUAUGUUUCAGUUGUCAGAAAGAGAAAAUAAAGACGGAACAAUGCCUUACCCUUUCUGGUACAUGUGGUAGUUCAGAUCAGGAGAUGGACGUGUCUGACUCAAUCCCCAGUUGCCUUCCCCCUAAUUCAUGUAGAGACAAGGUGCAAAGACAACCAACUGAAGAGGCUGAUGACAAGCAAUUCAGUGACCCUAACUUGGAGGAAAACAUAUUGCAAUGUACAGGUGUCAUAAAAAUCUCUGGAAUUCUAUUCUCAUCAGAUACAAAUGAGGAUUCAGAUCAGGAGACCAAGAAGAUUAAUUGUAAACUAUGCUCUGAGCAUGAAACAAAGCCUGCCAUAUGUGAGUUAUCUCAAGAACGUACUACCCAUAGCAAACCCAGUUCUGAGAAUAAGGAAAUACUUCAAGAGGAUGUCCAAGACUGUAUGUUGAGUACACUUUCUCUUCCCAAAGUCGUAAGCUCCUCUGAGUUGAAAGCUAACUUGGCACACAACUGGUGCUCACCUAUAGAAGACUGUGACUCACUUGCAGGGGACUAUAACACAAUUGCUGAUUCUGUCAACCAAUACAAAACUCACAAGGUCAACAAAAAGACUGAGAAGGAAAACCCCCUUCAUCCAGUUCCCACUGACAAACAAGAUCCUAACAUAGGCCAAAAUAAAGCCAAGGUGGAACCGCCACCAACUCCAUCCCCUAAGUGCUCUGGGGGGAAGAUGACUGUAGAUAGUCAACACCGACACAAAAAACUACAUUCACAAAAGAGCAGACAUUUCAGUGAGAGGAAUAGUGAUUACGAUCCAUGCCAAAAUAAGAAUAGGGAAUCACUGAUUGAGCAACAACACAAGGGCAGUCGAGACAAGGACCUAAUGAAAAAACAACAUUCUAAUGAGAGAGUGCACAAAGAACUUCAAAGUAGACACAAGAAGAGGCGACAAACUGAAAAUGUGUCCAGUCAAUCUAUGAUCAAGAAAUCCCGAAAGAGAGCUUCAACUGAAACUGAAGGAAGAUACUCUAGUAAUUCUAAAGAGUUACAGCCCCAGCCAGUGGAAGGUACAAAGAACAGCAGAAGUGAAAACUCAAUGUCAUGUCCUGGUGUGAAAAGUCUCCAUGUGCAUGGAUCGUCACCUUUCACAGCUUCUUUCAAAUGCCCCACAAAUGUCCCAGAAAUACUGAACUGCUUGCCAUCAAAACAUACAGAGGGAGUCCCCAAAUUGACGAAGGGUAAAGCCCCAAACAAAAUUCCCAGACACCAUUCCACUGAAAUGUCAUGGUCUCCUAAUCUGAAAGACAAACACAGAACACUUCAAGUCAAAUUGGAAAAGCUGUCUUUCCUCAAACCUAUUGCCAGAAAAGGUUCUCCACCAAACCAGGAAACAGUGGAAGGUUCCCCACCAGGCCAGAGGAGAGUGGAGAAGAAUAAAGGAGAGCCUGGAAUUUCUCUGGUAAAGGCCUUGAUGACCACUCAGUCCAUGGAUGGAAAUCUUGACCAAACCAAACUCAAAGGUAAGGCAGCAAGAGCCUUGAUAUCCCAGAAAUUGAAGUUGCCAAAAACUUCAAAGGCAUUUGUUAGAAAUGAGGAAGGCAGGUAUAAAACAAUCAAACGCCAGAACAACUCACUGGUCCCCAAGCCAAAGCUGCCAAGGAUUCCGAAACUUUCAAAGAUUGCAGAGAUCCGAAAAAAUGGGAAUGAAGAUGAGAAAAGACCAGAUACCUCUCCCGAUGCUUUUCCUGAACCACAGCUGUUGAAAAAAUCUGUAAGAGUGGCACACAAACCAAAAACUCUUAAGAAGCAUUUUGGCCAAAGUAUUCAUGCUUUUUCAAAUUUGGUAUCACUGCCACAUGGCAACACAUAUUUUGAGCCAAAGGUCUCUGCUAGGCAGCAGGUGUUCUCUGAUUGGGAGAGUAGCUUUGUUCCAACUCCACCCCCCCGGAUUCGCAGACGAUUAGGAUGUCUUUCAGAGGAAGUAGAAGGACCACAUGUGAUUCAGGAUACCAGAAUCAUCCGAUCCAUUCUGAAACAAGUUGAUGCUCAGCCUAAACCUAUGUUAAAAGUCACCUUUUCUUUGAACCCAAGGAAAGUUCACUUCUUCAAGCGCCUUGAUCACGAGAUGGAAGUCAUGUUCAACAGGUCUUGCACAGAUCCUGAUGAUAUAAAGCCUUCUGACAAAGAGGAUACGCAUGUGAACUGCAAGAAUAGAGCGGAGCAGCCUUGUGUUUGGGAAGAGAAAAUGCAAGAUCUAGAGGAGGGAAAGCCUGGACCAAGUGGUUCAUAUAAUAAGAUAUUCAAAAGAAAGCAUGAAAUGCCAGCUGAAGCUACCGUUUUGAUGAAAAAGAGCAUUGUUCAGGCCAAGAUUUUGACAAAGUGUAUCCAUCGUGAACCUCCAAAAGACCCUAGAAAGUCCGCAGAAAAAAAUGGAGUUGGAUACAAAUGGUCAAACAAACGUAAUUGGAGGGAAAAAUAAAUGGAAUAUUCCACUCCGAAUUAAAGUUCACCAGGUUUCUCUCAAAAUGUAAGUUCCCCGGUGGUCUACAUUAAUCCUCCAGCAAAUGGAAAAGAUUCAAGCGCAACAUCAAGCACCAUAGAUCUCCCAUGGAUAAACUGACCAAGCAGUGCUCAGGAGACUGAAGUGAUUUUGAAGGCAAACACUGCCCCCUGCCACGAUACAGCUUAAAUUCAAACCUGCCAUUUAAAAAAAACUUAAAAUACUGCAGACCAUGCCUGUAAAGUUUUUAAGGUCUUCCUCUAAUAGGUUUUGGUAGUUGUGAUUGAAAUAGAUGUUUUAUAUACUAUGUAUAUUGUACAUUUUUACUCAUAACCUCUGUGUGGUCACUGUAUGUUUACGGUGUUUACUGUUUUGGCAACAUUAGGGCAAUGCUGUGUUGUUGGCAGAAUACAGAAUUCUCACAGAGCACCAGCAAAAAAAUAAUGUUAAUGUUGUGCAUUUCACUUUUUUUGCAGUAUGUGGAUUUUCCUUUUUCUUUAUGCCAUGCACAUUGAUGUCUGAUGUUAGUGUUUUAUUACUGUCAAAUACAGAGGGUGAACAAAAUAAUGGGAACAACUAACAAUAUAUUAAUAUCAAGGACCUAAUAAGGAGUUCUUCAGAAAAGUGCCACUCAUUCUUUGAAUGCUGUGAUAUAAGUCCUGAACUCUGUGUAGUGGGAUAUUGCACCUUGCCAGCCUGGUGUUCAUAAAACAACACUUGUAUUCAUUUAGCAUUGUUUAUCAUCCUUAAAUAUUGGAACAUCAUGAGGAAACAGUGUUUGCACCAUAGAGUGCACCUGAUCCUGUAAAAUGCAACCACCAUGCAGAGCAAUCAUCAGACACAAUGGCUCCCACGAGAUCGCUGUCCAUGUCAUUACAGAUAACAGUUGGCAGCAGAUAUUGUGGUCUGAGGCGUUCUUUGGCGUCCUCCAAAUGUAAACCAAUCCAGGGGUAGGAAAUUGCGUAAAUACUGGCUCAUUAGACUAUUUCUUUACAUUACUCUGGGUCAGUCCAGCUUUUGUGGUCCUCGUACAAAGUUAUGCAUCUUUGUGUGCUGGCCUUGGAUACAAGCGGUUUCCGCAUUGCAACCCUGUCAUUAUGUUCAGCUUUGUGAUCGUUUUUGUUUAGACUGAGUCACAGAGAUGCUGAUUCAAAUCUGUUCAUUUUUGAGACCGUACUUUUAGGGCAUUUAGCAACUAUCCUGUUAAGUGUUUGUCUAUCUCUGUCGGACAGCUUUGAUAUAUGACCACUGUUCUUUGCUGAUACAAUUUGUUGCUGAAGUUUUGCAUAAGCUGAUUUUUGAGACUGUUCCCCUUGACUCAUAGAAUUAUAUUCCAUUGUUGUGACCAAUGCACCGGCACUAUUUGACCAUUUUGGAACUGUUAGUUGCUUUGAAAACUCAAAUAACAAACUAGGAAUUUGAGUCAGACCCCUUUAUAGCUGACACAUAUGUACUGCUAAUUUGACAAUCAACCUAAUCUGAACUCUGCAGCUGUGUAGGUAAUUGUGAUUUAGUUUCUUCAAAGAAAGUCAUUUUCCAUGUGGUGUUUCUUUUAUUUUUCCCACCCCCUCUAUGUUUAAGUAAUGUAUGUUUGAUUUGGUUUAACGCACUAGGUUCAUGGUUCUCUGACCAUAGUUAAUACUUUUUAUUGAUGCUGCUAUUGACUUUGAUAUUGAGGAAUACAUGUUCUUUUACAGGUGACUUAUUUUUAUAUACUAAUUUCUUAAACAUCAAUAUUUUUUAUACAAUGUGACAAGUUUAAGUUUUAUUGCUGUGUUUUUUUUGACUGAUGUUUGCUGUAUUUUUUACUUUAUUAAAAAACAGAAAAUAAGUGUUUUUACUUUUCACAUCACACAUCUUAGUGUAAUUUUAACAUCAACAUUGCUAUUUUUAACAGUUUUGCUUCCUCCACAACUGGUCCUUUGCUUCGUAAUACACAUGACUGUCCUAAUAGAUGGUUAGCCCAAUUUCAAAUUUCUUGUGUUGAGGAAAGUAGUUAUGAAAUUUGUUUGGCAACUGCCCAAUUAUAGUUAACGAAGAUCGGGGCAUUAAUUUCAGUGUCUGCCUAGUAAUAAUGACUUACAAGCGGUUCAUCAUCAUUGGUCAGAGCAGGUGACACUAGAACAACAUUUCAUGGUCGUGAAGUUAUGUUCCUGAUAACAAUAUAGAAACAUUGAGCUCAAGUAGAGUUACUGUGACUAAGGUGGAUGUCUAUUUAGAACUGAAUGAAGACAGUAUAAAAGAAAGCAAAAGUAUAUAGAGAAAACCGCCAAAUCCACACGUCAUUUGCAAACAAACUAUUUUUGUUGAACUUUGGUUAAAGAUCACUAGUGAAAGGAGCCAUUCAUUUGGCUCCUUAAUUUCCUUCAAAAGUGUUAAGUUCAAAAAGAUUAUUUGCAUAUAAGAUGAAGCCGUUUUAAUGAAAGAUUGUAUAUCUGCACUGAAGAAUAAAUAAAUUGUUGGGAGAGCGCAUCUUUGUGUUCCACAUGCACAACAGUGACAAAAAAGCAGCAGGCAACGUAAUAAAUAGGAUAGGUAAUAUGUAACCUAUUUGAACGUGUUUCACACAUAAUUCUAGGCCAUUUUGUCAUCUUUACAUUAGAGAUUUGCACUUAUUCAG